rnacentral:rRNA from 1 species
GACGAACGCUGGCGGCGUGCUUAACACAUGCAAGUCGAGCGGAGCGGCGAACGGGUGAGUAACGCGUGAGUAACUGCCCCCCCCUCUGGGAUAACUGUUGGAAACGGCUGCUAAUACCGGAUAGUGGGGGAUGACUCGCGUCCUAUCCGCUUGUUGGUGGGGUAGUGGCCUACCAAGGCGACGACGGGUAGCCGGCCUGAGAGGGCGACCGGCCAGGUUGGGCUGAGAUACGGCCCAAACUCCUACGGGAGGGAGCAGUGGGGGAUGGUGCACGAUAGGGGAGACCCUAAUGCAGCAACGCCGCGUGCGGGAUGACGGGCUUCGGGUUGUAAACCGAUUUCAGCCAUGACGCGGUAGUGGCAGAAGAAGCACCGGCUAACUACGUGCCAGCAGCCGCGGUAAUAC